GAGAGCAUAGAGAAGAAACUGCUCACUCUCUUUUCCUAGUUAGUAUUCAGGGAAUGAUUGGAGCAGAAUAGAGAGAGAUGUCCAGGCUUAGAAGGAUUAUAAUUAAAGAGAACAAAGAAACUGAGAACAAAGGUGAAAAGUAAGAGGGAGGAGUGAGAAGGAAAGAAAAAAAAAGACCUAAAGUGUCAAAGAAUAACAAGAAGUGGAUCUCUCGAUUUAAAUCACUGAUAUGUUUUUAGGUCAUUUUUAGCUUAAGGUCUUGAUAUUUCUCCCUCCUUUUUUUGGUCUUAAACAGAAAAAGGAUGUUUUACUGCACCAAGUCACUAAAAAAUACUGCUAUUGGGAUUUCCUUCUGCCAACCCAUCAAGAUGCUGCCUAUAGACUGGGGAAUUUAUGAAAAAGCUGCUCUGUUAUCAACAUAAAGGAAGCUACGACAAAAAAAGUCAGAAAAGUGAGUGGGUAAGCUUUUAAGGAAAUCAGGUGCAAAUUUAUUGGCAUGUCUGUGUAAUGAGGUUGAAAUGAGGGGAGAAAAAAAAUGACCAAAAUCUGGAGCAGGGGGAGGAUUUGUCAGUAACAAGAGAUGGUCUGUCCUUUUACACUGUGCAGUACCUGUGUCACCAGGCAACAGUUAUCCUGGGGCUUUGGGCAAGUAAUUCUCAUCACCCUCUUAAUUCCCAUCUCAAAGACAUUGCAAAAAGCCUUCAGGCUGUUCGUGAGAACGUUUUUACUUUGUUAGGGCUUGAACUGGGGGCGGCAGGAUCCUCUGAAGUGGUGAAUCUUGAUAUGAGGAAUGAGGAUGCUCCGCCGGGAUUGCCACAAGGCAGCUCUGAAGUGGAAUCAACAGUUUAAAAACAGCACACUCCUGUCUAACUACACCAAACUGAAGGCUGCUGGACAAAUGAAAAGCCAACAGCCACUGAAAAAAAAAAAAUCAGAGUUCUGAAAGCAGAGGAGAAUGAAAUGAGCAAAAUAAUUUUGCAGGUUAUGGAGCGUUCAUGUGUUGUCUUUGAAGGAUAUUUUUUAACUCUGAGUAAUGUGAGCACAGUGCUGUGGUUUUUCUUUGCUGCAUCUGGAAAGUGUACCCAAGGAACUCAGCAAUUUGUCACAUGUAUAUUUAUAUUGAAGUGAACCACAGAUUUGUAGGUUACUUAAUGUAAUAGAGGAGAGUGAAAAUGGAGCAAGUGCAAAAUUCUAUAAUACAGGAUUGCAUCAACAGAGAACACUUACCAAUAGGAAAGAGGGACUGUGCAACAUUUAUAGGUGAAGGCAGGUAAGUAUCCAAAGUAAUUUGAAAAAAUACCAGUGUGGGGAUUGUAGUAUCUAAUCUAUUUUUCUUAGAGGAUGCUCUUAAAUGUGAAAAAAACUGAUGUCUUUAGGGCAAGUUCAUAUCUAACACAAAUUGCUGUAUCUUCAGUGUUUCAGAAGAACGAUGACAUCCUAUAUCAGCCAAAGAAUCUGUCUGAAAUUGUACAGAAAGUAGAGUCUGAAAAGAAAAACAAGACAUCCUGGUAUUCAGAUGCACCCAAAUCAAAGAGCUGUCAUGAUCAAAUAUUUAGAAAUUUAAGCUUGCUGCCAAAGUGUAGCUCAUUAAAACAGUGAUUAAAAGCCUAACUCAUAGAUGCUUUGGUAGGACCUCAAAUUGAUCUGAUUUCCUGAUUUUGUACAAAUUUUUGUAAUGAUUUAUCACUUUAGGGAAACACUUAUAUUAAAUUGCAUUAAAAAUUAAAAAACCCACAGUAAUUAUCCUUUUUUUUCCCCCUCAGAACAAUGCAAUUAUAUUCAAUGCUAUGAGUGACUGAAAAAAAUUAUGUACACUCAUGCAUAAGCCCUAGUGCUAUAUUUUGUAAUGUUAAAAAUCUGGGGAAAGUUUUUGGCAGCAUUGCAAAACUUUUAAAGACUUUGCCAUUUCCACAAAAAUAUUCAGUAUUCGAGGAAAAGCCGUUUAUCAUAGAAAACACAUUGUAUAACAAAGUUACAAUCUCUAAUUAAUACUGGAGAUUUUCGCUGUGCAUUGAAUCCCAAAUUUGGAAUUAUCAGCGAGAAAGGUAAUUAAGGAUAAAGCUGCUGGAGAUAAGUAACUCUUCAGCCAUCUUCUGGGUGACAUAUGAAAGCGUCCAAACACUACUGUGAGCAAUUAAUCUUCUAUAACUCACACAAUAUGCAGAUUAAGAGCAGGUCUAGGCCUGAGCUGCACCACACAUGCUGAAGUUUUGAAUCUGUACGUGUAGUUGGCAUCAUAUUUUGGGUUUUGCCCCAGUGGGUCUUCCAUAAAAGGUUGGUUGUGGAGACAGGAAAAAUAAUAUAUGCCGUUAAAUUGUUUAUUAGCACAGGAACUUCACACAGGGGAAGGAAUGAUUGUUUAUUGAAACAAGACCUUCAAGGGACUCUUUAAUUAUAAAACAGCUUGAUAUUUUAAAGAAAAUGACAGAGACAACGGAAAGAACAAUUUACUGUGGGUAACAGGUUGAGUAUAGCUUGGGGCCUAUUAAUCAGUCAUGCAUAACCACUAUCCCAUAAAGAAAUUGGAAUAAACAUACAGAAAAUACUGCCUCUGCAAGAGGAUUCAAAGAAACAUGGCUGGGUUUUAAAAUGUAAUUAACAGUUGCAUCAUAACACAUUAAGAGGAGCAAAAGCAGUAUCUGUCUCGCAACAGUAGAUGAAUAAAAUGAAGACAUCAGUUCUCCAGCUUUGGAACCCACUGACAGCAAGUUCUGCAGAAAUGGGAGCACGGGUCUGCUGCCAUUGGUACUGAGGCACCAAGCAAGGCUUUGAAGCAGGAAACACCUCGUUUUAUUCACCCUGAACCUGUAGCCUGAUGCCCACCAUUAACUCCAUCUGCUUCCCCUGUCUCAGGAAUGGGAUAGAGCUUUUCCCUGAAAGGCCUGAGAAUGUCCACUGAGCAUCUGAGGUCUCUCCUCAGUUGUCUGGUCCCACACCAACCCCCGUGGCAGGAUCAGGGCCCCAGCCAAGGUAAGUGUUCAGUGGGGUGGGUUCUCAGUGCUCCCAGAGCUGGGCACAAAUGGUCUCCUGCAGCUCUACCUCCUGAGAGUUAAUGAAGAUUAGAUCCCAUCUAGAAAUAUAGCCCCAACACACUGAAACUUCCUCAAUAAAUUUUAGGAUAGACUUUAGUGCGGAAUUACAGCUGCAGGUCUCCAGCCAUUAAAAAAUGAAUUAUUGUUACGGAUGUAACUCGGCAGCAGAGCAGCCUGACAGCAACGGCCUGAGCUAAUUCCCCCAAAGAUUCGUCUCUGUUCCUGCAAGAUAAGUGCUCCAGCCUUGUUUCCUUCUGUUGGAUUUUUACACAGUGCCUCGUGGAGCACGGCACCGUCCCCAUUUGCAUGUGCUGUACAGGGCUGGAUUGACAAUAUCAGCCAGGGUAUUAUGUGACACCUAAUUUGGAAACACUUGGUGAAGGUUAUCUCUGCCUCAAGCAAUGAUACCACGAGGCUGAAUAUAAAGCUGUUAGAGUAAUUUCUAGUGAAUAAUGUAUUAAAUAACUUUACUUCUCCUCUCCCUCCCUCUGCACGUGACUUGUUUGAGGCUUUUUUUUUUUUUUAAAGAAAGAAGGAACUAUUUAAUAAUGAAACUAGAAUGAUGUUGAAUACACAAGUUACAGGUGGCAGAUCUGGAGACAGAUUUUAGCCUGGUUAUAUACUUUAAAUACUCAAAAUAUUAGUUGUAAUUCUUUACUGGUAAGUUUUGAUUUGCAGGUCAUUUGUGAGUGAGCUGUUACAGUUCCAGGCUAUUUUGAGUGGCUGCUCAAUCACCUGUUGUUACUUUUUCACUCCAAAUGGCUAAAGGUGAUUCAUAGCUUUUCAUAUUUUAUACCCUUUACUUUUCUGCUUCAAGAUGAAAUUUAAUUUACACCAACAAUCCGAAGUGCCUAUUGCUCUGAGAGCCAUUCCCUGUUUAUUAUUUGUUCUUUUUAGAGAUGACAGAAACAAAACACAAAUGGGCAAGAGGUGACUUUUUUUUCAAAAUAUGACCCUUUGUUUAUGGUGAACUUUGUAACCCUCAGCUACCUGUUUACAGGAAGUAUAAGAGGCUCAAAGAGAGAAAAUGCCUGGAGAAUAUUUGUUCGAGUCCUCAGAAGUGUUUUGUGCUCCCAGAAAUUCGAUUACACGUAGGAGCAGUUUGCAACAUUCAUUUUGUUAUGGCAAGUGCUUUAUUUAUCUUUUCAUGAUGCCAUUUUACCACCAGUGAUGGUGUGGUCACCUGAAGCUGUGGUGUCCUGGCAAGUGACAGCUGAGACUGGACAUUAAUGCUCAGGUACAGGCUGAUCUGGCUGCCACUGGACCAGGUAGCACAUUCCCAUUCCAGAAUUCCAUUUUCUGGAAGUCUUUUAGAUUCUCUGAAUUUCUUUAGGAGUAAAAAAAAAAAAAUAAUAAGAAAAUAAAAGAGAACAAGAGAAAGAGAGAGGGGAAAAAAUUUUAUCUGUGAAAAGGGAGAAGUUUCUCUCUGCUCACGAUUUUUCAAGCUUGUUCAAUUGUAACAACCUCAUGGAUAGCAAAUUGGUGUCAUUUUUAUCUGAGGAAAAACAGGAAGGUAACUGCCCUCAAAGGAGUAGGUAAAUAUAUUUUUCAUGAUUUUGUAGUCUCGCUUGUGUUUCACUCGUGGCAGUUUCACAGAUGUCUUUCCUCUUUUAUGUUGCUCUCUUCUUUUUUAAGAAAGCCAAUUUAAAAUGGCUAAUUGCACCUACCCUUAGAUGUUUGUGCUGCAUUUCAUGGAGGUGGGAUAGAGUCAGUUCCAUAAUGUGCAGGCAAAGCUUGAGCCCCACACAUGCAGGGGAUUCAUAUUAUAACUUCUGGCAUUUUUCCAAUAAACAGAAGGGCAAAUCAUUUGUGCAGGGCUGGUAUCAAAAGAGAAGGACUAAACACGCAGUUUAAUUGAACAUUUGUUCUUAACUUUACUCAGGGACAUUUGACAUGAAAAUUCUUGCCAUACUUGAUUGAAACCAGCUAUGUGUGUCCAGAACUACAUGGUUUAGGGAGGUAGUGGAAGAUGAUUGUGUAUUGUACAACCUCCCAGGCUCUCAGGGACCAUUAGAAUUGCAAACCUGUUACCCUGGCAACCACAAAAUUUGACAGGACUUGAAACCUCUGAUCUCCCUGGAUAAGGCAGCAGCAUUUAUAAAAUUUGCUCAUUCACCUUACCAUAGUUGCUACAGUUAAUGUUGAAUUGCAUCAGUAGCUUCUUCUCUGCUGAAAAGCCCUCAGAUGGCUGUGGAGUUAAUAGAUAACAGCAAUAGAGAGUUAUAGAACAGAGCUUCCAAAAUUUCCCUCCAUGGACCACUGGAACUGCCAAGUGCCAACUGGUUGGAGAUGGUUUUUCACUCCCUGUGUUUCCAGCUGUUGAUAUCUCACCAAAAGGCAACUAAACACAUUAUAUGUUCCCCUAAUAUCUCCAGAGGCAAAUAAAAUCAAUGGCAAACAUGUAAAGUGCCCAUCCCGAGCUUGUCCUCUCACACAUUCUCUCUUCUCCAUUCUCUCUUUUGCUCUGGUCACACACUCUCAAUUUGGUUGAAUUUGGAGGCUUGGCUGCACUCAACCAAAAUAAAGUCAUCUUUCCAGAGCUGUAUAUUUUAGCUGUAAAAUUAAAAGUGGGGAAUUCUGCCUUGGAUGGAACUGGAUUCUCUCUGGAAUUCGGCACUGCUGAGAUUAUUAUCAAAAACCAUGUUUUAGUUCCUGUGUCUUUAUUGUUUCUUUAGAUUUAUGGUAAGUUUAGAGAUGACAAAAAAAAAAGAGGCCUUAAAUUGAUUUUUAAGAACUGGAGAGAAAUAAAGGUGGUAAAUAGCAUGUAAAGAUGACACUCAACAAAUUCAGUUACCAUGUAGAAAUAAUUAAGUGGGGGGAAAGGACAGCAGGUAAAAAAAUGUACUUUUGCUGGGGAAAGAGAGAACAGGAACUGACUGCUCUUUAAACACAGAGAAAUUAGGAGAAAAAAAUUUUAAACCAUAAGAGAAACACUGUGCAUAGGGAAUCUCUAGAUUCCCUGUCUUCUUUGACUUCUCAAGGAAAGACUGUAUUUCUCUUUUUGUGAUAGUUGAAAUUCAUUAUUUGUCUCCAUACUGGAGUGAUAUUACAGGGGUUUUCUUAUACAAAAAACUGACAAGAUGAACUUAUAUUCAAAAACUUUAGUAGGAAAAUUUACCUUACUUUUCUUCUGUCUAAAAAAAAAAUAUUUAAAAAUUCCCAAUUAAUACUCAACAUCAUAAUAUUUUUACACAGUUUAUUGGCCUGCUUUACAAUGUUUGGUAUAACUUUAUUUCGCUGAUUCGGAAGAGUUCACUGAAAUGUUGAAUUUUUGCAUAUCCCUGUGUUUUUGCUUCUUUCUAGAAGUGGCUCCUGCAGUAGAAAUCAGUUCCUUAAUCUUCUGCUCCCCACUGAGCAUCCUGGGUGAGGUCUGAGAAACGUCACAAUUUUUCACCUUCACUUAGCUAGAGUCUAUCUCAGAUUGUUAGUCUUGGCUUACCCUCCAAUAUCCAUUAAAAACUCAGCCAACCAUAAAACUCUUACUGCCCUAAUUAGUAUUUUGAAUUCUACUCAUCCUCUUUUCUUUUCAGCUUUCAGCAAAUCUGGCCUUUGUGCCCAGCACAGGUUCACAGCCGUAGGAAUAAAUCCUUC